rnacentral:rRNA from 1 species
UACGUAGGGUGCGAGCGUUGUCCGGAAUUACUGGGCGUAAAGAGCUCGUAGGUGGUUUGUCGCGUUGUUCGUGAAAACUCACAGCUUAACUGUGGGCGUGCGGGCGAUACGGGCAGACUGGAGUACUGCAGGGGAGACUGGAAUUCCUGGUGUAGCGGUGGAAUGCGCAGAUAUCAGGAGGAACACCCGUGGCGAAGGCGGCUUCCUGGGGCCAUCCUGACACUGAGAAGCGAAAGCUAGGGGAGCGAACGGG